GGCCCCGGGAGCCGGAGCAGCCCCUCCGCGGCGCCCUCCCCGCGCCCUCCCCGCGCCCUCCCCGCGCGCCUACCUCUCGGACUUGGCGAACUUGCGGAACGCCUGUCGGAGGUCGUGGAAGGAGCGAUGACGCAGCGCUUGUAACUGGAGCCUAAAGACUUGGUGGGGUGUGUGCGCGCGAGGCGCGGGGUGAGCUGUUCCCUGAACGCGAGGCUGCCUGGGGCCGGUGCAACCUGCAGACCUGCAGACCUCGGCCGCUGCUUGCACUUCUGACCUCCCCUCCGCCCUGGAUGAGCAUGAAAUUUUACUGGAGACAGUGAACCGCCGCUGGGAAAGUUGAAUGAAUAUAUGAAUAUGCAGGUGGUGAUGAGCCAAAAGUUUUUAUUUUUUUUGGGGGGGGGGAUUCUGUUGUAAACUUGUCAGAACCCCGAUUUCAUCUGCUGCGGUUAAAAUGUGCAUACUGAGCAACCGGAUUAUCUCACGACCUGGCCUGACCUCAGAGGGCCGGGGCUCGCCCUCCAGGGGGAAACUGCACGGAAUCGGUGUCUUCCCCUCACCUGUGCAUCUACCCCCUCGUGCUAAAGGGAUUGUUCCACUUGUGUGAGCAGGAGGACUGGCGAAUGCCUCCGGUUUCUUUUUCUUAUCUGUCGUGUGUGCCACAAAGAGCACGUUUCAUCACAUAAAUCAUUUAUCUGUGACCGUGGGAGGAGCCUGUCUCCAGGUAAUGAUCAACACGUUAGUAAAUCUUUUUUUAAAGGAAAGAAACUAGCCGCAGACAAAGAUACCGAAGGACUUUUUCUGAAAUAGUGACUUCAGUUAAGAAAGAUCACUAUAUAAUCACUGGCUACUUAUUAGAAAAAAAAAGAAAGAAAGAAAAAAAAGAAAUCAUCUUUCUACCUUGUCUGAAACACCUAAGGAAAAGCAGGCGCAGCCUUCAGUUUAUGAAUAAAUCAUUAAAUAUAUUUUGUUCUGGA